UAGGGUACUCAGAGCAAGUUGU
rnacentral:miRNA from 1 species